AUUCUCGAAAAGUGAAAAUUCAACAAAAAAAUGAGGACGAAAGAAAGAAAAUAGGUGAGUACGAAUAAAUCGUCAAGAACGGUUACUCUGUUCAUCUUGGUUGUUCUGUUUAUUUUAUAAGCGUACAUUAUACAUUGAUGAAUAGUGCCAAAACGAAACUAAAAAAUUCAAGUUGAUAUCUUUUUAUUACCUUGAGAACAAUUAUAUAAAAGAAGUACUUAUUUAAUAUGGAAUUCUGGGAGUUCAAAGGUCACAAGUACAAACUGCACUGAGAAAUGGGAUGGUGGUUGUGAAUGGACUUGUGAGUGUGUUGACGACAAGAUAGGUCACCUCGGCCCAGUGGUUAAGGCAUCAGCCUCAGGAUCAGGAGGUCAAUGAUGCCCACCUCAUGUGAACUUGCCAUCAAACUGUCGGCUGGUAAGAGAUGCUGCAAAACCCUGCUGUAAAAUCUCGACCUGUAGCCCCACACCAUCUCCCCUAACAACAAAGGGACCAGGACUUCUGCCCAUGACUACAGUACCAACACAGAGACCACAAAAAAUGACAAUUUCCCCAACACCGGCUGGUUCCACUGUUAGUAUGCAGUAGGGGUUUCAACACCUUCAUUAUCCACAUUCUUCCCACCAUCACUGUCAACUGAAUCAUCAACACCAGAAUGCUGUCCAAAGACUAGAUCAGUUGGGAGCCUUAUCUCAGAGCCAAAGACCAUAGUUGCAGGUUUGACACCAAUGGCUUCAUGUACAGAACUACAAUGGGCCAUUAAACAUAAAGGUGUGCAGGGUUCCCGAUUGUUCCACUCCAGUGUACCAUGCAGAGAAGUGUGUCAGAUAUAUGUUGCCUCUGUCCUGUCUGUGUCUUCAGUAAAACACCAACACCAUUUUCUCCUCUAGUAUCCCAGGCACAAAAGGGUAUUCUGGCCCAACACCAAAUAGAUGUUCCAGCCUGACACCAUCAGGAUAUUUGUGCUCAACACCAAAUAGCUAUUCCAGCCCAAUUCCUGGAUAUUCCAGCUAAACACCUGGUUCAACAGCAAGACCAUCUUGAAGCCCAGCACCUACAGUGUGGAAGCCCAUUGUUGGACCCAAAAUUGAAGCCCUGUCUGCAAACAUAGGUUACUGUGAGUAUAAGGGCUCCCAGUACAAACAGGAUGCUACUUGGGAAGAUGGCUGUCCGUACAUCUGUACAUGCAUUGAUGAAGACAGUGCACAGUGCCAGGAAAAGUAAAUACUUACAGUAUUAGAUCACUAAUAGAGAACCUCCUUUUUGAAGAGUAUUCAGUUCCUACCAUAAGCCUACUUUUACUGCAAUUCUUAGGGGGCGUAGGUUCAAGCCCUACUGGAACCAUUUUUUUUUCCCGUAUUUUCCGUUUUUUCUAGUAAGUUUUUACUUCUUUCAAGACUUGUUAUUGAUUUCUUGUACAAAAAUGGAAAAAGAAUCUUAUAAGCGAUUUCUUGGUGUUUAAAGUGAAUUUACUACUUGAACGGAAGGGGUAGAGUUACACAUCUUUAAAAAUAUUGAGUUAACCGCGGAUAAAGUU